rnacentral:rRNA from 1 species
UACGGAGGGUGCGAGCGUUGCUCGGAAUCACUGGGCGUAAAGCGUACGCAGGCUGUCUCGUAAGUCGGGUGUGAAAGCCCGGGGCUCAACCCCGGAAUUGCGCCCGAGACUGCGGGGCUUGAAUGCGGGAGAGGGAAGCGGAAUUCCUGGUGUAGAGGUGAAAUUCGUAGAUAUCAAGCGGAACACCGGUGGCGAAGGCGGCCUUCUGGACGAUGACUGACGCUGAAGCGCGAAAGCGUGGGGAGCAAACAGG